CAACAGGGAUUGCCUCAGUAACGGCGAGUGAAGCGGCAAGAGCUCAAAUUUGAAAUCUGGCGUCCCCGACGUCCGAGUUGUAAUUUGGAGAGGCAUCUUCUGGAGGGGCCCAGCCUAUGUUCCUUGGAACAGGACGUCAUAGAGGGUGAGAAUCCCGUUCUCGGCUGGAUGUCCCCACCUGCAUGUAGUGUCUUCUACGAGUCGAGUUGUUUGGGAAUGCAGCUCAAAAUGGGUGGUAAAUUUCAUCUAAAGCUAAAUAUUGGCGAGAGACCGAUAGCGCACAAGUAGAGUGAUCGAAAGAUGAAAAGCACUUUGAAAAUAGAGUCAAACAGUACGUGAAAUUGUUGAAAGGGAAGCGCUUGAGACCAGACUCGGCCCUGGACAAACAACGUAGGUUGUGGUGGGUGCACUUGCCCAGGGUCGGGCCAGCAUCAGUUGGGACGGCGGGAUAAAGGCCGCGGGAAUGUGGCUCCUCUCGGGGAGUGUUAUAGCCCUGGGCGCCAUGCCGUCAGUCCCGACUGAGGACCGCGCUUCGGCAAGGAUGCUGGCGUAAUGGUCUUCAGCGACCCGUCUUGAAACACGGACCAAGGAGUCUGACG
rnacentral:rRNA from 1 species